UUAAUCUGAAUGAUCAGAAACAGUUGACCUACAGGUGGAUCCUCUUUGCUUCCAAAUGCAGGUAGUGCUCAGACGUCAGCAUGAAGACAAGCCCAUCCCACCCCAGACUAUUUUGAAGAAUGGAUUUAGAAUGGAAAUAAUUCGAAAAAAAAUGCUUUCUAGACAAUACGGAGGAAUCGUUUUCCUUUCAGUACACUCAACAAUAACUAAGAUACAAUUGCGGAUUGUUGCUCCAAUCAGUAGAUCUGCUAAAGGAAGUAAGUUAUAAAAGCGCUGUAUGCCGCGUUGCCCCGCCCCGUCCUCCACCCCUCUCCACCCCUCCAUCCCCCACCUCCCUGGCCUCAAGGAGACACAAUAAGGACAAACUACAAAGACCAAAAUUCCGUUCGGUUUUCAACUUCCUCUCCCGCCAAGCUUAGAAGUGACACCCACCUUCACUAAUUUCCUUUGCUGGCAGGAAAACCAUAGUUUCUUUUUCCUAUUUUCAGUUUCAGGAUAUUUUCAGAAUGAAUUAGCAAUUAUACGAAUAGUACAACUCCGCC
rnacentral:lncRNA from 1 species